AUGCACGCUGGCGGCGUGCCUCAUACAUGCAAGUCGCGCGAACGGACGAGAAGCUUGCUUCUCUGAUGUUAGCGGCGGACGGGUGAGUAACACGUGGAUAACCUACCUAUAAGACUGGGAUAACUUCGGGAAACCGGAGCUAAUACCGGAUAAUAUUUUGAACCGCAUGGUUCCAAAGUGAAAGACGGUCUUGCUGUCACUUAUAGCUGGAUCCGCGCUGCAUUAGCUAGUUGGUAAGGUAACGGCUUACCAAGGCAACGAUGCAUAGCCGACCUGAGAGGGUGAUCGGCCACACUGGAACUGAGACACGGUCCAGACUCCUACGGGAGGCAGCAGUAGGGAAUCUUCCGCAAUGGGCGAAAGCCUGACGGAGCAACGCCGCGUGAGUGAUGAAGGUCUUCGGAUCGUAAAACUCUGUUAUUAGGGAAGAACAUAUGUGUAAGUAACUGUGCACAUCUUGACGGUACCUAAUCAGAAAGCCACGGCUAACUACGUG
rnacentral:rRNA from 1 species